AACGAACGCUGGCGGCAUGCCUAACACAUGCAAGUCGAACGAUACCUUCGGGUCUAGUGGCGCACGGGUGCUUAACGCGUGGGAACCUGCCCUUAGGUUCGGAAUAACUCCCCGAAAGGGGUGCUAAUACCGGAUAAUGUCUUCGGACCAAAGAUUUAUCGCCUUUGGAUGGGCCCGCGUUGGAUUAGCUAGUUGGUAGGGUAAAAGCCUACCAAGGCGACGAUCCAUAGCUGGUCUGAGAGGAUGAUCAGCAACACUGGGACUGAGACACGGCCCAGACUCCUACGGGAGGCAGCAGUGGGGAAUAUUGGACAGCGGGCGAACGCCUGAUCCAGCAAUGCCGCGUGAGUGAUGAAGGCCUUAGGGUUGUAAAGCUCUUUUACCCGGGAUGAUAAUGACAGUACCGGGAGAAUAAGCUCCGGCUAACUACGUG
rnacentral:rRNA from 1 species